CCGGAGCUUGCUCCACCGGAAAAAGAAGAGUGGCGAACGGGUGAGUAACACGUGGGUAACCUGCCCAUCAGAAGGGGAUAACACUUGGAAACAGGUGCUAAUACCGUAUAACAAUCNAAACCGCAUGGUUUUGAUUUGAAAGGCGCUUUCGGGUGUCGCUGAUGGAUGGACCCGCGGUGCAUUACCUAGUUGGUGAGGUAACGGCUCACCANGGCCACGAUGCAUAGCCGACCUGAGAGGGUGAUCGGCCACNUUGGGACUGAGACACGGCCCAAACUCCUACGGGAGGCAGCAGUANGGAAUCUUCGGCAAUGGACGAAAGUCUGACCGAGCAACGCCNCGUGAGUGAACAAGGUUUUCGGAUCGUAAAACUCUGUUGUUAGAGAANAACAAGGAUGAUAGUAACUGUAUCAGUCCCUUGACGGUAUCUAACCGGAAAGCCAGCAGGCUAACUACGUGCCAGCGAGCCGCGGUAAUACGUAGUGGCAAGCGUUGUCCGGAUUUAUUGGGCGUAUAGCGAGCGCACGCUGUUAUCUUAAGUCUG
rnacentral:rRNA from 1 species